rnacentral:sRNA from 1 species
GGAUCACGCCCUUCACGGGCGUUUCCUCCCUGGACUCCAGCCGCUCGCAAGGGCGGCCUUUUGUUUCCGGGGA